CAAUAGCGUAUAUUAAAGUUGUUGCGGUUAAAAGCUCGUAGUCGAAGUUUAAACAGAAUUUCAAUUUUUACUUAGUGAAUAUUGAUAAUUUUGUUACCAAAUUUUGGUGUCUGUUACUUUGAAGAAAUCAGAGUGUUUCAAGCAAGCUAUUGUUUUGAAUACUAAAGCAUGGAAUAAUGAAAGAAGGCAAGGAUAUUUUUCAUUGGUUUAAAUAUUUUUGUAAUGAUUAAUGGAAACAGACAGGGGCAUUCGUAUUUAACUGUCAGAGGUGGAAUUCUUGGAUUUGUUAAAGACGUACAACUGCGAAAGCAUUUGCCAGGUAUGUGUUCAUUGAUCAAGAACGAAAGUUAGGGGAUCGAAGAUGAUUAGAUACCGU
rnacentral:rRNA from 1 species